rnacentral:rRNA from 1 species
CAGAGGACUGCAGCACAACAUGUCUCCUUGCUGCUGCUGCUCCUUGUGUCAAUGGCCGCAGUUAGAUCGACCGCCGGAGUGCAGCAAGGACAAUGGUACAGCGUCAUGGAUUUCCAUGCAGCUGGGGACGGCGCGACGAGUGAUGUCGAGGCGUUCGAGGAGACAUGGAAAGUAGCCUGCAGCAGCCACAGCAGCGAGGUGAUCAUGAAAGGAAAGACAUUCUUGCUGAACCAGACGAGGUUCAACGGACCCUGCAAGUCGCCCAUCACCGUACAGCUGGAGGGCGACGUGGUGGCGCCAAACUCCUUCUAUUUAAAGCCAUCAGACGUCCUGACCUUCUAUGGCGUCGACAACCUGACGGUGAAUGGGAGCGGCCAGAUAGACGGGCGAGGCGCCCAGUGGUGGGAUUGCUACAACCAAAAGAAAUGCAAUGACCGGCCAAGGUCGCUGUCGUUCGCGCACUGCAACAAUCUACGGGUGACCAACAUACGCCUCAAGGACGGCGUCGAAAAGAACAUGAUCAUGUACGAGUGCACGCAGGUGCAGGUGCACAACGUCUCCAUCACGGCGCCGGGCGACAGCCCCAACACGGACGGGGUCAAUAUGGGCUCCUCCAACCAUGUAAACAUCUCGUCUUGCUCUAUGCACACCGGUGAUGAUUGUGUGUCGAUUCUAUCGGGAACCACCAAUGUUAACGUCACCAACACCACCUGCGGGCCUGGUCAUGGCAUCAGUGUGGGAAGUCUUGGAGGUGUUGCUGACGGCCCAACGCUGGUGGAAAAAAUUACAGUGUCCAACUGCAGCUUCUUCAAUACCACGACCGGUGUGAGGAUCAAAUCGUGGCAGGAUGGCAAGGCACUAGCAACCGGAUUCCUUUUCAUCAAACUCAGAAUGACUGCCGUCCGGUUGCCUAUCGAUAUCGACCAGUUCUAUUGCCCCCAAGGAAACUGUCCACCACAGGAUGGUGGUGUGGCCAUAACAGACGCUCGAUUCGUCGACAUCCAGGGGACGUCCUCAGAACGAGAGGCCAUCAAGAUCAUGUGCAGCAAGAGUGUGCCAUGCCACGACAUCUACCUCAAAAACGUCAACCUCUCUUGGGCCAACCACAUUGCCCCGGCACAAGCUAUUGUUCAGAAUGCCCAUGGAAGCGUCACGGGAACGGUGAAGCCACAAACACAGUUUGCUGGCAAUUGA